UCCCAGGUUAGGAAGCGAACCCGUGCCACAGCAGUGAUGAAGCUGGAUGCUUAAUCUGCUGAGCCACCAGGGAACUCCCGGGACUUGUGUGCUUUUGAAUGGGACCCGACACCUCCCUGAUUUUUCAGAUGCAAAAUCUGAGACCCAGAGAGAAGAGGGGAUUUGCUCCGUGUCAUUCAGCCACAGUGACGCAACGGGGCUUUGAACCCAGAUCUUCUCCCUCCUGUGGGGAAAUUGAACCAAAUCCAAGCACGCUGAGGAAUAUCGAAGGAUCACAUGUGCUUGAGCAACUGUCUGGGGAAAACUGGGCGAGAACUGUGAAGGACAAACGUCCAGCACACCCAGGCCAGCAAACCGCACGGCAGAUGGCCUUUCAACUUCGUGCCUCUUUUGCUGAGCGAUGGAAAGAAAGACGGGUGGUGAACCGAACUGUGACGAGAGGAACUAUUAGGAAGUUGGGAGCCUGCUGAUAAUCACUCUGAUUCCAUCCAGGAUAGAUAUUAAAUUACAUUCGGUGGUCACGUCUCCUGAGGCUCCAGGGUGUGACAGUACCUGAGACUUUCCUUGCUCGUGAUGACCUUGACAGUUUUGAAGCGCACUGGUCAGCAGAGACCAUGCUGGAUCCUUAAAC